rnacentral:sRNA from 1 species
AAGAGAACGAUGCCUUGCGCCAACGCGCCUC